GCCAAAGCCUUGGCCGGGUACAGGUCCCUCCUCCACACGGCUCUACUUCCGCCUCACCUCGCCUCACCUCGCCCCACCCCAAGCUCAGGCAGGCCUCGGCUCCUGUCGGUCCCCGUUUGGAAAGGGGUCCAUUGUGGAAACGAUCAGCUCUUUGCAGACCCAACAGGGAGAAGCCUACUUUACUAUUCCAGCAGGAGGAAAGAUUUUCUCAUUGUGUGACAACAGCCCAGCCAAUGAGAGACUGUCAUAACUCAGUCAAUGAAAAGUCACCACACUUUGAACCCCAGGUUUACUCCAAUGGACUUUCUGUUUAUCAUGGGCCCUUCAAACUCCCCCCUUUCCUAUGUAAAAGAUCUCUCCUCUUCUUUGGUUUUGCAACAGCUUACAUGUCUCAAGUUGCAAUUUUCUACUGUUCCUGAUUAAACCCAUUUUUGCUGGUAAAAUAA